GUCCACGCCGUAAACGAUGGGUGCUAGGUGUGGGCGGUGUCGACUCCGUCCGUGCCGAAGCUAACGCAUUAAGCACCCCGCCUGGGGAGUACGGCCGCAAGGCUAAAACUCAAAGGAAUUGACGGGGCCCGCACAAGCAGCGGAGCAUGUGGUUUAAUUCGACGCGACGCGAAGAACCUUACCAAGGCUUGACAUGACCAGGAAUGUCGUAGAAAUACGGCAGCCCUUCGGGGCCUGGCCACAGGUGGUGCAUGGCUGUCGU
rnacentral:rRNA from 1 species